UACGAAGGGGGCUAGCGUUGCUCGGAAUCACUGGGCGUAAAGCGCACGUAGGCGGGUUCUUAAGUCAGGGGUGAAAUCCUGGAGCUCAACUCCAGAACUGCCUUUGAUACUGGGAAUCUCGAGUCCGGGAGAGGUGAGUGGAACUGCGAGUGUAGAGGUGAAAUUCGUAGAUAUUCGCAAGAACACCAGUGGCGAAGGCGGCUCACUGGCCCGGUACUGACACUGAGGAGCGAAAGCGUGGGGAGCGAUCCGG
rnacentral:rRNA from 1 species